rnacentral:rRNA from 1 species
AGUGAACGCUGGCGGUAGGCCUAACACAUGCAAGUCGAACGGCAGCACAGUAAGAGCUUGCUCUUACGGGUGGCGAGUGGCGGACGGGUGAGGCAUACAUCGGAAUCUACUUUUUCGUGGGGGAUAACGUAGGGAAACUUACGCUAAUACCGCAUACGACCUACGGGUGAAAGCAGGGGAUCUUCGGACCUUGCGCGAUCGAAUGAGCCGAUGUCGGAUUAGCUAGUUGGCGGGGUAAAGGCCCACCAAGGCGACGAUCCGUAGCUGGUCUGAGAGGAUGAUCAGCCACACUGGAACUGAGACACGGUCCAGACUCCUACGGGAGGCAGCAGUGGGGAAUAUUGGACAAUGGGCGCAAGCCUGAUCCAGCCAUACCGCGUGGGUGAAGAAGGCCUUCGGGUUGUAAAGCCCUUUUGUUGGGAAAGAAAAGCAGCAGGUUAAUACCCCGCUGUUCUGACGGUACCCAAAGAAUAAGCACCGGCUAACUUCGUG